CCAUCAUAGGCCAGGCCAUCAUAGGCCAGGUAUUGACGUCUGCACACCUGGCUAGGUAAGCUAGAUAAAAUAAAGACUGACCCGCAGCCCAAGGAGUGAAAGUCCCAGCUUUCAUCAUGGCAGAGAUCGAGUUACUGCCAGAGAGUGAAGGGCCUGAGCGGCCAUUGAUGACUGUUAAUGGCAUACUUUGUGAGCGUGUUGUAAUAGUUCUGGCUCAGGAGUGAAUUGGCCACAUCAAACCCCACAGUCUCUGACCUCCCAGCAGGAUAGCCAGGCGUCAGGGAAAUUUACAGCAGACAUGAUUAGCUCAUAUUUAAAUGGUGCUUAAAAGCUGGCUUCCUGAGAAUUUCGCAGCUUAAUUUAGCCAGAAGUGUUUCGGUAUAUAAAGGACUCAUCUCCAUAAGUAUGUUAGCAGUGAGCCUGUAAAAAUAAUCUCGACUAGGGAAUCGUUUUUCUUGGCAGGACGAAGGCAGCAAGGACACGCGGACUUCAGCAGAAUGCGCUGAUUGUUCACCAACUAGUGAUUGUGCAACACUAACUCCAUCCUGUCAUAGCAUUCCAGCUGGAUUAUGAAUUCUGUCCACAGGGGCCUGAUCGGUUCCAGCAGAAAGCCCUUAUUUGGAAGGAAUCCUCGCUAUGGAUUGUCAGGCUCAGGAUACGAUGCUGAUACACUUGCGUGCAAGAGAUUUCCAGGUUUCCUGUUGCACUUUUCGUCAUCUGGAAAGGUGAAGAGAGAGAAAAGCGGGAGGAUGGCAUAACACAGGCUCUGGAUGGGACUACAUCCUGUCUCGUGUCACACCCACAGUGCCGCUGUCCCAACUAGCAGGACUGAUGCAACUCCAGUUGUUUGCCUGUGAUCUGGCAGACACUUCCCCUGCUCGUAAGAACACCCAUCAGCAACUUAAUUAGCUGUGAAGACUCUUCACUUGAAACCUGAAAUCAUUCAUUCAGCGCUUUGUCAAGAGGCGGCAGGCUUGGGCGUGUUGAUGAGAACUUCUAGAUUGUUUCCCGAGCAGCAGAAAGGAGAUGGACGAACAGUGUGGGGUGGAGGUAGCCCAGGCUGGAGAAGGAAUUCCCCUCAUACCUCUAUGGAAAGAGCGUGGCUUUGGUGUGUAGAGACAGGCAUCAGACGACACCAGCUGAGAUUCAUAAAGACCCGCAGGGCUUGUAUUAUUUUUGCAUGCACAGGUCAUCAAUAAUGGCUCGAUGUGUGUUUGCAUAGGGACAGCCAUGACUUUUGCAUGUUUUUGCCCAUUUGUCAAAGGCUCACAUGGGAUAAGCCUCUCUUUCAGUAUGGAGGCAGCAGAGGCCCCUGUUCAUUACUUCUCUCAACAGGUUGGACAUCUUGGAGCGCGACUUUCAUUUCCUUCUCACUAUGGGUGUAUUCAGUGGUAAUGAGACCCCAGAGAAUGGCAUGUUUAAAGGCAUCUGAGCAAUAAAAUGAUGAUGAUGAUUA